UACGGGGGGGGCAAGCGUUGUUCGGAAUUACUGGGCGUAAAGGGCUCGUAGGCGGCCAACUAAGUCAGACGUGAAAUCCCUCGGCUUAACCGGGGAACUGCGUCCGAUACUGGUGGGCUUGAAUCCGGGAGGGGGAUGCGGAAUUCCAGGUGUAGCGGUGAAAUGCGUAGAUAUCUGGAGGAACACCGGUGGCGAAGGCGGCAUCCUGGACCGGCAUUGACGCUGAGGCGCGAAAGCUAGGGGAGCAAACGGG
rnacentral:rRNA from 1 species